rnacentral:rRNA from 1 species
UAACGUCAGCGGCAGACGGGUGAGUAACGCGUGGGAACAUACCUUUUGGUUCGGAACAACACAGGGAAACUUGUGCUAAUACCGGAUAAGCCCUUACGGGGAAAGAUUUAUCGCCGAAAGAUUGGCCCGCGUCUGAUUAGCUAGUUGGUGAGGUAACGGCUCACCAAGGCGACGAUCAGUAGCUGGUCUGAGAGGAUGAUCAGCCACAUUGGGACUGAGACACGGCCCAG